AGGAAAUUGCUCUGGAGGCUAUGGAUCAUCACUGGGCAGUGGCAUUCUCCUCCUCCCAGCCCUGUCAUGGGUGAGAUGUGACAGGACCCCAGGUUCACAGCCUCCCACCCCCUGCUCCAGCCCAGGAGGAGUUUCUCUCCUGACCCUGUCCUCCUAUCCCCCCACCCACAGAGAGUCUAGACCUAGGUUGGCAGUGGUGCAGGGGACUCACAGUGGUGGGCAGGCCUAAAUGUUCUUGUGCUGAACUCGGUGUCUCAGAGUGCCUGGUGGCCAGGCUGAGGGAGACCUGCCCUGGGCUUCUUCUCAUAUCAGGCCCUGAGGACCCUGAGUGUUGUGAGACAUGCCCUGUGCUGCCCAUUGAGGCUGGGUUGUUCUGGCCAGUGGCCUGAAGCACGUGGACUUAGUCAUCCAUCCUCUCACUUGUUCCCAAGUGCUUUCCCUGUGUGGUGUCUUGAGGCUGCAGCCUUGAGGCCUGGGAAACAGCACAAUAUGUUCACUGCAGACUGUCUCCUGCCAAGUGACUGUUAGGCAGCCUUUGUGAGACUGCGGUGCCCCAUUACUGCAGGGUUCCAAGUUCUGUUGGGACCUGUCACCAUGGAAGUGAAGUCAUGUGCUGGGGUCCAUAAGAUGAGCCUCCUGGUCUGUUGCAAGAAGCAUGGUAUCUACACAAAAAGGCAGAAUGAAAAGCUAAGAAGAUAGAAGAUUGCCUACAAAAAGUACUUUAAGGCAACAUAUAAGUUGAGUAUUUAUUACAAAGAUGAAUUCUACAACUUAAGAAUGAUAUCAGUUAUGAUAACAAAUACAUGUGAAGUUACUAUACUUGAAAUCCAUAAUGCAGGCUAGGAGAUGUGACUCAGUUAUGGAGCACGAGUUUUGCACGCAUGAGGCCCCGGGUUCAAUCCCCACCACCACACACACCAAAAAGAAGAAAAAAUGUGAUGAAUAAUUUCUGCACAUUAUCUCUAAAUUUUACAAAUUAAUCACAAAAUGCACCUCAAAAACUGGUAGUUACAUUAUCUCCAUUUAAAUUUUUAAGAAUGAAUGUAAUUAGAGAGUCCAGGAGCUUGAGCAUACAGGCCCCAGCCAAAGGCCCACUUGGAAAAGAGCUGCAAAAGUGUGCAAGCAAUAGCCCGAGGCCCACCCAGAUGCCAUCAGUAAGUGUGAUGAGAUCCCAGUGAGAAUCCUAAUUGGACAAGAGCGGCUCAACUGUGUGAGCCAGCUCUGAGCCAGGGCCCUGCCCAGACAGGAGAAGCUUGGGCCCUCAGGAACAAACCAAAAUCUCACCUAAGAAAGAGCUGCACAGGCAUGCAAACAACAGCCAGAGGCUCACACAGAUACCAUUGAUAAGUACCCACAGACCUCAGCCAGAAGCUCACUCAGACAUCAGCAACUCAGGUGCACAGCACCCAGCCUAAGGGCAUCCCAGACAACAGCUACACAGGUGGGCAGGCCACAGCAAGAGACAUGCCCAGAUAUCAUACCAAGAGUGUGCAGCCCCCAGCUUGAACCCGGCCCAGACAACAGUGCAGUGCAGAGAUCCACAAGGCCACUAUUCUGAACCCAGGAAUUGGCACAGUGGUAACAGAGUAAAGGGCUCUCUGUGGUUUUCUGAAUAUUGAAGCCCAUUGGGGGAACAAAAAGUCACCUCAACAAAAGUGCAGCAGGCUGCAUCUGCUGAAAUGAGAAGACACAUAAACAAGUCUCAAGACCAGACUUCCAGAUCACCAAAGGCAACCCCAAGAGGCAAUGAGAUGGAACAAGCUGAUACUCAACUACCUGAACUCCCUGAACUGGCAACAAAGGAGUAUCUGCAAAAAAGGUUGGAAAUCAGGCAGCCCAGAGCCUGGCAGAGGUCUGCACAAUGAGGACAGCACAGGCAGGCAAGCCACAUGCCCUGAUGGAGCCCCCAGAGCAGACCUCCCUGGACAGCUGCCCCAUCAGUGGGCCCUCCUUCGUGGAUCCCAAAGGGGCCUGCAUUUUUUCCCCACAGGAGGGCAUGGUGGGAAGGAGCACCUCCAUUCCAAGCUGAAGUCCCAGCGGCAGAGCCUGUGCCAACUGCACCUGCAGGUGCUUCCUCAGCUCUGGCACCACAGCCAGAGCCAGAACCAGGAUUCCCUUGUCCUUUAACUGCACUUCUGGGGCUCCUGGUGGCUUCUCAGAGGUUGUCAGCUCCUGAGAUUCCCCUGGGGCCAGCUCCUGCCCCACACCUGCCAUUCCCCUCUAUUACUGCUGCUCAUGUUUUAUUCUUUACUUUUGUGCUUAUAUUCUG
rnacentral:lncRNA from 1 species